CAGGCUAUGGAGGCUACUAAAGGCUGGAAGAGACAAGGAAGGAUCCUCCCACAGGUUUCAGAGGGAGCACGGUUCUGCCAACCCCUCGACUUUGAACUUCCCGCUUCCAGAAAGGUGAACUCAUAACCAUCCUUUGGACCCCAGCUCAAGAGAUGCUGACUUCUUCAGACCAAGUCUGAAUUAAAUGAACACACACCAGCUGGACAGUAGGAGGAAGCAGCUAAGAAGACAGUCUAGAAAAGAACAUUUGCUUUGGGUGACUGAUGUGCAAAUAAUGAACAGUGGCCCGGGUUUGCAGCCCAGCAGCCUCCUGAAGUUGACAGCAUUAAAGUUAAGACCCAUUGCAACAGUGCCCUGGCAUUUGCACAGAGUCUAAAUCAAUGUAAAACUAUGGCAGUUGAUUGCAAAAAUGGCCCUGAUUAUUCCCAUCCUUGUAACCUUGUUGUUACAAUUCAGCUCGUAGCUCUUCUUAUCAGGAGGUAGAGUCUACUUCGCUGCCUCUUGACUUGGGCUGGCCUUUUGGAUUGCUGGGCCAAUGCAAUGAAGCAAAAGUAAUGGUGUAAGAUGUGCCUGUCCAAGCCUAGGCAUUAAAGGGUCAUGGAAACUUUACUCCCUUUCUUGAAAUCUGCCUUGGCCAUGAGUCAAAACCUGGACUAGUCUGUUGGGAUGAGAGACUACAUGGACCCAGGCUGGGGUCCUGGACAUGUGAGAGAGCCCAGCUAAGAUUUGCAAAGCUACCCUGAAGCUGACCUGCAAACUGAGCACAAAGACACAAGGGAGUCUAUCUGGGAUCAGAACUGCCCAGCUGACCUAUACAUUCAUGAGUUAAAUAAAAGCUUAUUGUUUGAAGCCACUGGAUUUCAUGACCAUUUUUUAUGUAGCAUUACUGUGGCAGUAGAUGACAGGUACGGAACUCUAUGGCUGUCUUAGCUUCUUUCCUUCCCACCUCUAGUACUAUACUGUUGCCUUCUCACUGUCUGUAAUAUGUUUCUCUGACAUACUGACUAUGUUGAAUUAAAGGGACAUUAAAAACAGCAGGUUCGGCUG
rnacentral:lncRNA from 10 species